rnacentral:rRNA from 1 species
ACGGGGUGCAGCAGGCGCGAAACCUUUACACUGCACGCACGUCGAUAAGGGGACUCCGAGUGCGAGGGCAUAUCGUCCUCGCUUUCGUGUACCGUAGGUGGUACACAACAAGGGCUGGGCAAGACCGGUGCCAGCCGCCGCGGUAAUACCGGCAGCCCGAGUGAUGGCCGAUCUUAUUGGGCCUAAAGCGUCCGUAGCUGGCUGCGCAAGUCCGUCGGGAAAUCCACUCGCCCAACGAGUGGGCGUCCGACGGAAACUGCACAGCUUGGGACCGGAAGGCUCGAAGGGUACGUUCGGGGUAGGAGUGAAAUCCCAUAAUCCCGCACGGACCACCGAUGGCGAAAGCACUUCGAGAAAACGGAUCCGACAGUGAGGGACGAAAGCCAGGGUCUCCAACCGGAUUAGAUACCCGGGUAGUCCUGGCCGUAAACAAUGUUCGCUAGGUAUGACACAGACUACGCGUCUCUGUUGUGCCGUAGGAAGCCGAGAAGCGAACCGCCUGGGAAGUACGUCUGCAAGGAUGAAACUUAAAGGAAUUGGCGGGGGAGCACGGGGCGGGG